rnacentral:rRNA from 1 species
UGGAAACCGGCGAACGGGUGAGUAACGCGUACACAACCUACCCUUAACUGGGGGAUAGCCUUGGGAAACUGAGAUUAAUACCCCAUAAUAUUGAUUGAUUGCAUAUGAGUUCAAUUAAAGCUCAGGCGGUUAAGGAUGGGUGUGCGUUCCAUUAGCUAGUUGGUGAGGUAACGGCUCACCAAGGUGACGAUGGAUAGGGGGCGUGAGAGCGUGAUCCCCCACACGGGUACUGAGACACGGACCCG